UAGAUCCAAUUGGUAAGAUAUAAUUGCCC
rnacentral:piRNA from 1 species